UGAGCCACCUUUGCAGAUCAUUAAGGGUUCGCCUGCUAAGUGAUUUGUCCCUGAACCUGAACAUCUGAUUUUCCAUGUGCUAAUUGUCAGAAUACAAGAUUCACCCCUGAUGAAGUCUUGGAGAAAAGACGAAACGCGUUGGAUUGUUUCCUUAUGAAGCUUUUUUUGAAUCAGUAACAAAGAAAAAGCGGUUAUCAUUGAAUAUCAUCUGCAAAAUUGUUACUAUGGUCAUUUGAUCUGGAAAAAGGGUGAAGUGAUUUAUCACACCUUCUCUGUAUGAAUAUUGAUUGUAUGUUUUUAUGAUAAUAAAAAG